GACGAACGCUGGCGGCGUGCUUAACACAUGCAAGUCGAGCGAUGAAGCUCCUUCGGGAGCGGAUUAGCGGCGGACGGGUGAGUAACACGUGGGCAACCUGCCCCGAAGACCGGGAUAACACCGGGAAACCGGUGCUAAUACCGGAUGUCCUCUUCCGAUCGCAUGAUUGGACGAGGAAAUGGAUUCUGCUUCGGGAUGGGCUCGCGGCCUAUCAGCUUGCUGGUGGGGGAACGGCCUACCAAGGCGACGACGGGUAGCUGGUCUGAGAGGACGAACAGCCAAACUGGGACUGAGACACGGCCCAGACUCCUACGGGAGGCAGCAGUAGGGAAUCUUGCGCAAUGGGCGAAAGCCUGAAGCAGCGACGCCGCGUGCGGGAUGAAGGCCUUCGGGUUGUAAACCGCUUUCAGCAGGGACGAAAUUGACGGUACCUGCAGAAGAAGGCCCGGCCAACUACGUGCCAGCAGCCGCCGAAAUAC
rnacentral:rRNA from 1 species